rnacentral:rRNA from 1 species
GAUGAACGUUGGCGGCGUGCCUAAUACAUGCAAGUCGAGCGAAUGGAUUAAGAGCUUGCUCUUAUGAAGUUAGCGGCGGACGGGUGAGUAACACGUGGGUAACCUGCCCAUAAGACUAGGAUAACUCCGGGAAACCGGGGCUAAUACCGGAUAACAUUUUGAACCGCAUGGUUCGAAAUUGAAAGGCGGCUUCGGCUGUCACUUAUGGAUGGACCCGCGUCGCACUAGCUAGUUGGUGAGGUAACGGCUCACCAAGGCAACGAUGCGUAGCCGACCUGAGAGGGUGAUCGGCCACACUGGGACUGAGACACGGCCCAGACUCCUACGGGAGGCAGCAGUAGGGAAUCUUCCGCAAUGGACGAAAGUCUGACGGAGCAACGCCGCGUGAGUGAUGAAGGCUUUCGGGUCGUAAAACUCUGUUGUUAGGGAAGAACAAGUGCUAGUUGAAUAAGCUGGCACCUUGACGGUACCUAACCAGAAAGCCACGGCUAACUACGUGCCAGCCGCCGCCGUAA